GAUGAACGCUGGCGGCGUGCUUAACACAUGCAAGUCGAACGGGAAUUAUUUUAUUGAAACUUCGGUCGAUUUAAUUUAAUUCUAGUGGCGGACGGGUGAGUAACGCGUGGGUAACCUGCCUUAUACAGGGGGAUAACAGUCAGAAAUGGCUGCUAAUACCGCAUAAGCGCACAGAGCUGCAUGGCUCAGUGUGAAAAACUCCGGUGGUAUAAGAUGGACCCGCGUUGGGUUAGCUUGUUGGCAGGGUAACGGCCUACCAAGGCGACGAUCCAUAGCCGGCCUGAGAGGGUGAACGGCCACAUUGGGACUGAGACACGGCCCAGACUCCUACGGGAGGCAGCAGUGGGGAAUAUUGCACAAUGGGGGAAACCCUGAUGCAGCGACGCCGCGUGAAGGAAGAAGUAUCUCGGUAUGUAAACUUCUAUCAGCAGGGAAGAUAGUGACGGUACCUGACUAAGAAGCCCCGGCUAACUACGUG
rnacentral:rRNA from 1 species